GACGCACGCUGGCGGCGUGCCUAAUACAUGCAAGUCGAACGCAGUGGGGACGGGUGAGUAACACGUGGGUAACCUCCCAUCAGAGGGGAUAACACUUGGCAACAGGUGCUAAACCGAUACUGAUUGAUGGACUCGCGGUGCAUUAGCUAGUUGGUGAGGUACCGGCUCACCAAGGCCAUGAUGCAUCGCGGACCUGAGAGGGUGAUCGGCAACACGGGGACGGAGACACGGCCCAGACUCCUACGGGAGGCAGCAGUAGGGAAUCUUGGGCAAUGGACGAAAGUCUUACCUAGCAACGCAGCGUGAGUGAAGAAGGUUUUCGGAUCGUAAAACUCUGUUGUUAGAGAAGCGGUAGCUAACCAGAAAGCCACGGCUAACUACGUGCCAGACGCCGCGGUAAUAC
rnacentral:rRNA from 1 species